GGUUGGCUUGAGCGCUGCUUGCAUUACAGGCUGUGCUGAGGCUGACUACUACUACAGAGGAAGGAAGGCAGGCAAAAGAUAGGAAACACCAUAAACAAAAUCAUCCUGCUGGUUGCACAGUUCAUGGCUGUAGAUGCAGCGGUUAUUUCCACAGCGGAAGCGGAACGGUGGCUCACAGUGGUGACUGAAGGAAGAGGCGAUGUCAAGAGGGUGAAAAGAAGGAAAUGAGGGGAAGACACUAGAAGAUAAGGUGUAAAUAAACAAAACAAGAUCAUACUAGAAAAUCAUUAUCACCAUCACAGAUCCAUGUUGCUGGGAUACAUCUGCCAUCGUCACAUCUGAACUGGUCACUUGAACAGCUCCUCACCGGGGGAACUUAAAGAAGAACAGGACUGAUCGUUUACCAACCAUUCAGUAUGCCAGGUAGUACUUUAAAGAGGCAGGCUCAUCUGAGCCAUCAGCACAGUCUAUUGCUUGAUCACAGUACCAGUGAGCAGGAAUGCAACGUCCAGAUGAGCAACG